rnacentral:rRNA from 1 species
AUUGAACGCUGGCGGCAGGCCUAACACAUGCAAGUCGAGCGGCAGCGGGAAAGUAGCUUGCUACUUUUGCCGGCGAGCGGCGGACGGGUGAGUAAUGCCUGGGAAAUUGCCCAGUCGAGGGGGAUAACAGUUGGAAACGACUGCUAAUACCGCAUACGCCCUACGGGGGAAAGCAGGGGACCUUCGGGCCUUGCGCGAUUGGAUAUGCCCAGGUGGGAUUAGCUAGUUGGUGAGGUAAUGGCUCACCAAGGCGACGAUCCCUAGCUGGGCUGGAAGGAUGAUCAGCCACACUGGAACUGGGACACGGUCCAGACUCCUACGGGAGGCAGCAGUGGGGAAUAUUGCACAAUGGGGGAAACCCUGAUGCAGCCAUGCCGCGUGUGUGAAGAAGGCCUUCGGGUUGUAAAGCACUUUCAGCGAGGAGGAAAGGCCAGUAGCUAAUAUCUGCUGGCUGUGACGUUACUCGCAGAAGAAGCACCGGCUAACUCCGUGCCAGCAGCCGCCGUAACAC